GAUAAGAUAAUUCUUCCUAUUUUACUGUGAACCCACUAUUAUGUUAGUCUUCUCCUUUACUCUGUUAUUAUACAGUAAUUAAAUAUCCCAUUAUACUAAUAAUCCUUAUAAUAGGUGAUUAUUCAUUCUCCUCAGGUUUCAAAUUAAAUUGGGCAUGAUAAUUCUUAUCUGAUUUUUAAAGCCUUGAAAUCAUUGUUGUUCCUCUUAGACUAUAAAAAUUAAAUAUUUAGAAAUCAGUGAAGUACACAACAAUGAUUUCAAGGCUUUAAAAAUCAGAUAAGAAUUAUCAUGCCCAAUUUGGGGUAGUUCAAACUGUUUUUUUCUGAACAGGAGUUUCUUAAGUACGUUGAUUUGGAUGACAUGAAGAUCAGUUCUCUUGAGACACGUGCUGAUCAUAAAAUGGUUGAAUGCAAAAACAUCUGUAAUUUCAUAUGGAAUUAUUACAAUUAGGUUUACUGGGUUAUUGGCCUACUUAUAAGAAAGCAAGUAAUGUAUUGGUUAGAGUACAUCUAUUUCACGUUUAAAAAAUUAAAUAAUCAGUACACUUCAGAAUUUUAUUUCAACUUGGAGUCUAGAUUACUUUGCCAAAUAAAUGUAUUAUUUUCAUAAUGCAAUAAAGUAUAAAUUAGAAGAUAAAAAAAAAAGAAAUCAGUGAAGUACAGAAUAAUCUGGUGCUGGGUAUUUUGUCUCAUUUGUUGGUGAAAGUCUUCACAUAUACAUAGCAAUUUUAAAUAAUAAACAUCAUGAUUUAAGGAUAUAAACAAAGAAGAAAACUUUUUACAUUAACUUUUAACAGAGAUCCUUUAGAUUAUCAUAAUUUUAUCUAGCUAAAUUUAUUCUGUCGAAAACAUACUUUUUUUCAAGGUAAUUAUUUCUAGUUUGGCCAUCUUUUCUGCUACAAGUUGAGUAUCCCUUAUCUAAAAUUCUUGGGACCAGAAACAUUUCAGAUUUGGGAUAUUUUUCAUAUGUGGGGGUAUUUUGCUUAUACAUAAUGAAAUAUCUUGGGGAUGGGGCUCAAGUCCAAAUGUAGAAUUCACUUAUGUUUCAUAUGAAUUUUGUUGACAUAUUAUGUCAGUACGUUUUUUUUUUUUUUGGACAGGCAGAGUGGACAGUGAGAGAGAGAGACAGAAAGGUCUUCCUCACUCUCCAAUGGCCGCUGUGGCCAGUGCGCUGCAGCCAGCGCACGACGCUCAUCCAAAGCCAGGAGCCAGAUGUUUCUCCUGGUCUCCCAUGCGGGUGCAGGGCCCAGUGACUUGCAUCCUCCACUGCACUCCCAGGCCACAGCAGAAAGCUGGACUGACAGAAGGGCAACCGGGACAGAAUCCGGCGCCCCAACUGGGACUAGAACCCGAGUUGCUGGUGCCACAGGCAGAGGAUUAGCCUACUGAGCCGCAACGCCGGCCAGUACUUUUUUUUUUUUUAAGAUUUAUUUAUUUAUUUGAGAAGUAGAGUUACAGACAAUGAGAGGGAGAGACAGAGAGAAAGGUCUUCCUUCCGCUGAUUCACUCCUCAAAUGGCUGCCACAGCCGGAGCUGUGCCGAUCUGAAGCCAGGAGCUAGGAGUUUCUUCCGGGUCUCCCACGUGGGUACAGGGGCCCAAGCUCCUGGGCCAUCUUCUACUACUUUCCCAAGCCAUAGCAGAGAGCUAGAUUGGAAGCGGAGCAACCGGGACUAGAACCAGCACCCACAUGGGAUGCUGGUACUGCAGGCAGAGACUUAAUCCACUACGCCGCAGCACCGCCCCAUCAGUACUUUUAUUCAGUAUUUUUAGUGCACCUACAUUUUGACUCCAACUGUUACAUGAGGUCAGGUGUGGAUUUUCCACUUAAGGUAUCAAGUCAGUGAUCAAAAAGUUUCAGAUUUUGGAGCCUUUCAGAUUUUGAAUUUUUGGAUUAGGGAUGUUCAACCUGUAUUGAUAUUACAGGUCAAGAGAGUACAUGCAUAAAUUUUUUUUAAAAAUUUAUUUGAGAGGCAGAGAAAGAGAACUCCCAACCCCUGAUUCACUCUCCAAAUGCCUACAGUGGCCACUUACCAGAACUGAAGCUGGGAGUCUGUAAUUCAGUUCAGGUCUCCCAUGUGGGUAGGUGGCAGGAAUCUACCUACUUGAGCCAUCAUCAUAACCUCCCUUGGGUGUCCAUCAACAGGAAGCUGGAGUCAGAAGCCAGAGCCAGGUAUCAAACCUAGGCUCUCUGAUGUAGGAGGUAGAUGUCUUAAAUUUGGGCCAGCACUGUGGCGUAGCAGGUAGGACUGCUCUGCAGCUCCACCAUCACAUCUGGAUGUUGGUUCAAGUCCUGGCUGCUCCACUUCUGAUGCAGCUCUCUGCUAUGGCCUGGGAAAGCAGUGAAAGAUGGCCCAAGUGCUUGGGCCCUGCACCCACAUGGGAGACCCAUGGAAGAAGCUCCUGGCUCCUGGCUUUAGAUUGCCCCAACUCCAGCUGUUGUGACCAUUUGGGAAGUGAACCAGCAGAUGGAAGACCUCUCUCUCUCUCUUUGCCUCUCCUUCUCUCUCUGUGUAACUUUGACUUUCAAAUAAAUAAAUCUUUUUAAAAAAUUGUAGGCUAGAUGCCUACCCCUGCAUAAAUUUUUAGUCAGGCAUAUUCAGUUCUCCAGAAAGUAUAAAUUUUUAUAAAAUCAUAAACAGGAUUUUGGCUUAUUUCUUUCAGUCUGUGGAUGAGACUUAUUUUUAUGCCUCCUAUAAAUUUGUGGUAAGUACUUAAGGUUUGGCUGAAUUUUGAGUUAAUGUUAUAUAACCAAAUCUCUUAGUCAUAAUAGAAGCCAACCUUAAAACAUGACACAUGGUUUCUGCUUUUGAGGAAUUUAUGAGCUAGUUGAAAAGACAAAAUUAAUAUUCUCAAAAGAGAUCAGAGAAUAAUUAACUGAAUUUAAAUAGUAUUAUUCCUGUAUGUAGUAGUUUCUUCUAUUUGUAUCUCUAGUAGAUGCUGUUAGUUUGAAUCUUAAAACUUGGGGAAGGAUUUGUGAUGGUGAAGAAGGGGCUGUGGUGGGGGAUUUCAGGAUGAUUAGGAUUUAUGCACAUAGAGACAGCCUUUAGAAGUAGGAGAAAUAGUAUAAAAAGAAACAUGGGGAAGAUCAGUAUGAAGUAACUUCCUUGUAGCAGCAGAAAACUUUAUUUGGAGUAUUAGGAAGGUAAAUGCAUAGUUAAAACUAAUCCAGAUUAUCUAUGUUAUCUUGAAACCAAGAUGGAGGCAUUUGGAUUUGAUUAAGUAAACUAGGGUCUUCCCCUAAUAGAUUGUAAUAUGCCCAUGGGUCAUACAGCUUUGAAAGGUGAUUCUUUUUUUUUUUUUUAAGAUUUAUUGAUUAAUUGAUUUGAAAGAGUUUCAGAGAAGAGGGGAAGAGACACGCAGAGAGAGAUACUCCAUUCUCUGGUUUACUUCCCAGAUGGCUGCAACAACCACGGCUGGGCCAGCCAAAGGCAGAAGCUUCAUCUGGGUCUCCCACAUGGGUCGUAGGGGCCCAAACAUUUAGGCCAUCUUCCUCUGUUUUUCCCAGGCCAUUGGCCGGGAUCUGGAUCAGAAGUAGAACAGCUGGGACAUGAACCGGCAUCCAUGUGGGAUGCUGGCAUCACAGGCAGCAGCUUUACCCACUACGCCCCAACACCAGUCCCAGAAGGUGAUUCUUAAGAUCUAGCCUGCUUGCCUGUCUGACUCUGUGUUUUCUUAGAAUUAAAAGUAGAAGGAGGUAGGUGGCAUCUGGCUUAGCUGUUAAGAUGCCUGUUGGGUUGUCCACAUUCCACAUCAGAGUACUUGGGUUUGAGUUCUGACUCAGCUCCCAGUUCCAUCUUCCUGCCAAUGCAGAAUGUGGGAGACAACAGGUGAUGGCUCUAGUGGGAGUCCCUGUCACCCACAUGGGAGACCUGGAUUGAAUUCUUGGCUUUGGUUCAGACCAUUGCAGGCAACCAUGUGGACAUUUGAGGAAUGAACCAGAGGAUGGGAGCUCUUCCUUUCUUUGUCUUGGUCUCUAUCUUUCUCUCUUUGAGUCCCUAUCUCUGCCUCUCAAAAAAGAAAAGAAAA